GACGAACGCUGGCGGCGUGCCUAAUACAUGCAAGUCGAACGCAGUGGGGACGGGUGAGUAACAUGUGGGUAACCUCCCAUCAGAGGGGAUAACACUUGGAAACAGGUGCUAAACCGAUACUGAUGGAUGGACCCGCGGUGCAUUAGCUAGUUGGUGAGGUAACGGCUCACCAAGGCCACGAUGCAUAGCCGACCUGGAAGGGUGAUCGCCCAACCUGUGACUGAGACACGGCCCAGCCUCCUAGGGGAGGCAGAAGUAGGGAAUCUUCGGCAAUGGACGAAAGUCGGACCGGGCAACGCCGCGUAAGUGAAGAAGGUUUUCGGAUCGUAAGACUCUGUUGUUAGAGAAGCGGUAUCUAACCAGAAAGCCACGGCUAACUACGUGCCAGCAGCCGCGGUAAUUC
rnacentral:rRNA from 1 species